ACUCCUACGGGAGGCAGCAGUGGGGAAUAUUGGACAAUGGGCGAAAGCCUGAUCCAGCAAUGCCGCGUGAGUGAUGAAGGCCUUAGGGUUGUAAAGCUCUUUUACCAGGGAUGAUAAUGACAGUACCUGGAGAAUAAGCUCCGGCUAACUCCGUGCCAGCAGCCGCGGUAAUACGGAGGGAGCUAGCGUUGUUCGGAAUUACUGGGCGUAAAGCGCACGUAGGCGGCCAUUCAAGUCAGAGGUGAAAGCCCGGGGCUCAACCCCGGAACUGCCUUUGAAACUAGAUGGCUUGAAUCUUGGAGAGGCGAGUGGAAUUCCGAGUGUAGAGGUGAAAUUCGUAGAUAUUCGGAAGAACACCAGUGGCGAAGGCGACUCGCUGGACAAGUAUUGACGCUGAGGUGCGAAAGCGUGGGGAGCAAACA
rnacentral:rRNA from 1 species